rnacentral:misc_RNA from 1 species
GCAAACUUGGUCAUUUAGAGGAAGUAAAAGUCGUAACAAGGUCUCCGUUGGUGAACCAGCGGAGGGAUCAUUACAGAGUUGAUAAAAAAACUCCCAAACCCAUGUGAACUUACCUCUUGUUGCCUCGGUAGGCAAGCUGGUAAACCCCUCUACACCACUCCUGGUGUAACGUGGUGCAGCCGGCCUGCCGGUGGCCUGAGAAAUUCAAUUCUGUUUUUUUACGAUGUGAUAUUCUGACGAGUGGAUAAAAAUCUAAGUUAAAAACUUUCAACAACGGAUCUCUUGGUUCUGGCAUCGAUGAAGAACGCAGC